CAUUUCUCGUGGAUGAAAUGUACACAUCGCUGAAUACUAGCUCACUCCCUUCCAACUCUACUAGAAGAGGUAUGAUCCUAUUUAUCUUUCUUCAUUGGUGUGAUUUUACUUGAGAUAACAAUGUACUAUUGCGGUAUCCUUGGAGUUAACAAACAGCAUAAGAAAACAACUGAGUCUUGAAUUCACACCUUGUUGUAUCAAACUACUUUGAUUGUCAAAUGCAGCAGAUCAUACCCCCACAAUCCAACCCCCCUAUAAAUACUGCAUCACUCCUCUCCUUCACUACCACACUAAUCUACACUUACUUUAACUAUUAUCUACUAUAAUGUCUUCUGAUCAUGCAAGGUCUUCCAUUGACGCUGGACUGACAGCAAACGGACCAUUCCCAAAAGAGUGUUUCUAUUGCCAUUCUAGAUUCAAUCAAGCAGAGGAUAUAUUUAGGUACAGGUCACUUGCAUUCUGCACGAAAGAAUGCCGUGACAAACAAAUCGACGUGGACAAAGCGAACAAAAGGCCGGACUGCCCCUUUUGGCAGGAUAACUAAGCACUUGGUGUCAAUAAGAACCUAGUUUCUAGUGUUGUAAUAGUAGGAACUUAGCACAUAGUCUUAAUAAGAAGUGCAAAUCCUAGUUCCUAAUGUUGUAAUAGUAGUAUUAUUGAAUGCUAUUUGCAGAUCAGACUACUGGGACUAUGUCUAGUAGCAAGACCAUUUCUAUGUAUGUUUUAAGUUUGGUAAUAAAAGUUUGGCACUAUAGUUUUUGCA